GCUUUGUCUAUGAGGUGUCUUUG
rnacentral:piRNA from 1 species